CUUCUUCAAUCGGCGUUGUAAUAUGUUGUGGCUCCAUAGAUUGCCUUUGUGGAUAAACGAAGAUUGUUUACGCAGUACUUUUGUGUAAUUAAACCCUUUAUCGUAGUUGAAAACAUAUAUAUUACAGGCAAUAAUUGUGUAAUGGAGGAGCUACUUAACGAGGUGGUGCCACAGGAAGACCUGGAGAGGUUCGAGAAAAAGUUUGCCCACGAAUUGGAAUUGGACGGUGAAGUAACAAUAGAAACUAAAUUCGAGUAUGCUUUUUGCUUAGUUCGUAGUAGAUAUACCAAUGACAUUCGAAAAGGAAUAAUGAUAUUGGAAGAAUUGGCUAGAGUUCAUCCAGAUGGACGCCGUGAUUAUAUAUAUUAUCUAGCUUUUGGUAAUGCCAGAAUUAAAAACUAUUCUGACGGGUUGAAAUAUUGUAGAGCCUUUUUAGAAAUUGAAUCUAACGAUCAAGUUCGUUCAUUGGAGGAAUAUAUUAAGAAACAAAGUGAUAAAGACAUGGCAAAAGGUAUGGCGGUGGCAGGAGGUGCUGCUCUUGUACUUGGUGGCAUUCUGGGACUUGGAAUAGCACUAGCAAAAAAGUAAUGACAUCAUUUAUAGCAAAUUUAAAUGAAAAGAGAUAAGUUUUCCGAUACUUUGUCCAUGUUUUCGUUUAUGCCACAAUUCAUCUAAAAUUCCAAAAUCAUCUCUUAAUUGAUAAAAUAAGCAAAAACGUAAUAACUGAUGGAAUUCUAAAGCCGCUCUGGAUAAAAAAAUAUCAGCUCUCUGGAUUCAUUAAAUUCACACAAAAUAAUUAUUGAUUGUAAAAAAGUGUUUGGCAAUUGAAAACUGCGGCUCCCAGUUUAAGGUAGUUUUGUUAUGUCGAUCUUCUUUGUACAAAUGUAAAAUAUAACUUGAAAAAAAAAUGAACAACAGACAAGAAUAA